GGAGGGCGGCUACAUGCAGCGAGCGGUACUUUUCUAGCUUGCUGAAGAUGACAAGCGGCGGACGGGUGAUUAAUGCUUGGAAACAUGCCUUUAGGUGGGGGACAACAUUUGGAACCAACUGCUAAUACCCCAUAAUGUCUACGGACCAAAGGGGGCUUCGGCUCUCCCCUUUAGAUUGGCCCAAGUGGGAUUACCUAGUUGGUGAGGUAACGGCUCACCAAGGCGACAAUCCCUAGCUGGUUUGAGAGGAUGAUCAGCCACACUGGAACUGAGACACGGUCCAGACUCCUACGGGAGGCAGCAGUGGGAAAUAUUGCACAAUGGGCGCAAGCCUGAUGCAGCCAUGCCGCGUGUGUGAAGAAGGCCUUCGGUUUGUAAAGCACUUUCAAUAAGGAAGAAAGGUUGGUGGUUAAUACCCAUCAGCUGUGACGUUACUUACAGAAGAACCACCGGCUAACUCCCUGCCAGCAGCCGCGGUAAUACGGAGGGUGCGAGCGUUA
rnacentral:rRNA from 1 species